ACCUUUUAGUUUGUUCCUGGCUCAGGACGAACGCUGGCGGCGUGCCUAAUACAUGCAAGUCGAGCGGACAGAAGGGAGCUUGCUCCCGGAUGUUAGCGGCGGACGGGUGAGUAACACGUGGGUAACCUGCCUGUAAGACUGGGAUAACUCCGGGAAACCGGAGCUAAUACCGGAUAGUUCCUUGAACCGCAUGGUUCAAGGAUGAAAGACGGUUUCGGCUGUCACUUACAGAUGGACCCGCGGCGCAUUAGCUAGUUGGUGGGGUAAUGGCUCACCAAGGCGACGAUGCGUAGCCGACCUGAGAGGGUGAUCGGCCACACUGGGACUGAGACACGGCCCAGACUCCUACGGGAGGCAGCAGUAGGGAAUCUUCCGCAAUGGACGAAAGUCUGACGGAGCAACGCCGCGUGAGUGAUGAAGGUUUUCGGAUCGUAAAGCUCUGUUGUUAGGGAAGAACAAGUGCGAGAGUAACUGCUCGCACCUUGACGGUACCUAACCAGAAAGCCACGGCUAACUACGUGCCAGCAGCCGCGGUAAUACGUAGGUGGCAAGCGUUGUCCGGAAUUAUUGGGCGUAAAGGGCUCGCAGGCGGUUUCUUAAGUCUGAUGUGAAAGCCCCCGGCUCAACCGGGGAGGGUCAUUGGAAACUGGGAAACUUGAGUGCAGAAGAGGAGAGUGGAAUUCCACGUGUAGCGGUGAAAUGCGUAGAGAUGUGGAGGAACACCAGUGGCGAAGGCGACUCUCUGGUCUGUAACUGACGCUGAGGAGCGAAAGCGUGGGGAGCGAACAGGAUUAGAUACCCUGGUAGUCCACGCCGUAAACGAUGAGUGCUAAGUGUUAGGGGGUUUCCGCCCCUUAGUGCUGCAGCUAACGCAUAAGCAUUCCGCCUGGGAUCGCCGCCC
rnacentral:rRNA from 1 species